GUUUAUGAAAUUAACAUGAAAAAUGAAUCGGCUGAAAAAUUAAUGUUGGGAAUUUUAUAGGAAAUCUAAAGGGAUGUUAAGAUUGUUGGAAAUGUAUAAGAUCAUCUCCAGUAAUACAUCCUCAUUUACAGAUUUUUGCUGACAUCUUCGAAGACACAUCACCAUAUUCUCCUUCUUUAUUUUCACCUCAACAAUAGUUACUUAAUUCAGAUUUUUGCUGACGUCAUUCUAGACCCACAUUUCAUCAAUUUUUAACUCACUUAAUAUUUAUUCACAUUUAAUUUAAAUUUCAUAUUUAUUGUUUAUAAAGUAUAUAAAUUUAUUAUUUUAUAAAUAUAUAGCGAAUAAUAAAUAUUUUUUAAAAAUAAAAACAUAAAACACAAAAGUCAAUUUAAAUUUAAGAAAUUAAAUAAAUUAAAUUGGCAACAAAAUAAAAAUAAAAUAAAAAAUUGCAUUAAAAAUGAAAUAAAAUGAAGGAAAAAAUGAAUAUAAAUUACAAACUAAAAAGAUGAAAAAAAAAAACACAAAUGAAAAGCAAAAGAGAAGAAAAGAAAGCAAAACAAAACUAAUCUCCUCUCUCACUCUUACGUGUUAGAGGUGGUAAAACCAACUAUCCUCUCUCCUUCAAUCACCUUCCCUAAAUUAAACCCCCCAAUAAUUAUUUUUGGGAUGCAUCCCCAAUGCAUUCCAUGGUUGGAGAUGCUCUGAUUGGAGAGAAGUUGAAGAGACAUGUAAUUAUUGACUUAUUUUAGCAUAACUUUUAUAAAAAAUAAUAUAAAAAUACUUAAUGUAAAUAAUGAGAGUAUUAUUUUUUGGAAAUGAAAUAAAAUAUCAUUGCAUGGGAGAAAGAGUUUUAGGCGGGAAAAAUUC
rnacentral:lncRNA from 1 species